UGACCUCGGAUCAGGUAGGGAUACCCGCUGAACUUAAGCAUAUCAAUAAGCGGAGGAAAAGAAACCAACAGGGAUUGCCCCAGUAACGGCGAGUGAAGCGGCAAGAGCUCAAAUUUGAAAGCUGGCUCCUUCGGGGUCCGCAUUGUAAUUUGCAGAGGAUGCUUCGGGAGCGGUCCCCAUCUAAGUGCCCUGGAACGGGACGUCAUAGAGGGUGAGAAUCCCGUAUGGGAUGGGGUGUCCGCGCCCGUGUGAAGCUCCUUCGACGAGUCGAGUUGUUUGGGAAUGCAGCUCUAAAUGGGUGGUAAAUUUCAUCUAAAGCUAAAUAUUGGCCGGAGACCGAUAGCGCACAAGUAGAGUGAUCGAAAGAUGAAAAGCACUUUGAAAAGAGAGUUAAAAAGCACGUGAAAUUGUUGAAAGGGAAGCGCUUGCGACCAGACUCGCUCGCGGGGUUCAGCCGGCAUUCGUGCCGGUGUAUUUCCCCGCGGGCGGGCCAGCGUCGGUUUGGGCGGUCGGUCAAAGGCCCUCGGAAGGUAACGCCCCUAGGGGCGUCUUAUAGCCGAGGGUGCAAUGCGACCUGCCUAGACCGAGGAACGCGCUUCGGCUCGG
rnacentral:rRNA from 1 species